AUUGAACGCUGGCGGCAGGCCUACCACAUGCAAGUCGAACGAGUGGCGGACGGGUGAGUCAUGUCUGGGAAACUGCCUGAUGGAGGGGGAUAACUACUGGAAACGGUAGCUAAUACCGCAUCCCAUCGGAUGUGCCCAGAUGGGAUUAGCUAGUAGGUGGGGUAAAGGCUCACCUAGGCGCCGAUCCCUAGCUGGUUUGGGAGGAUGACCAGACACACUGGAACUGAGACACGGUCCAGACUCCGACGGGAGGCAGCAGUGGGGAAUAUUGCACAAUGGGCGCAAGCCUGAUGCAGCCAUGCCGCGUGUGUGAAGAAGGCCUUCGGGUUGUAAAGUACUUUCAGCGGGGAGGCGUUACCCGCAGAAGAAGCACCGGCUAACUCCGUGCCAGCAGCCGCGGUAAUUC
rnacentral:rRNA from 1 species